UUCAGGGCCAUGUGCGCCACGCCGGUAGCCGCAAAAAUGUUGUUAUCCUGUUUUGCUCUCCUUUUUGCUGUGCUUCUUUUAUUGUGUUUUUGUGUACUGCGCUCGGCAACUUAAUAAUAACCGUGAAAACGAGCAUAAAACGGAGUAAUAUAAAUAGCAACAACAACACUGACUGCAGCAAAACGGUUGUAGGCUGCGUACUAGUUUGAGUGUGUGUGUAGGUUUAACAGUAUAUAUGUACUUAGCACAUAAGCAUGUAGGUUGGUUGGUUGGUUGGCUGACAGGCUGGUUGUUGGUUUGGCAAACAUGUGCUCUGCAAGUGGGCAUUAUUUUUAGUCGCCAGCGUUGGGCGUAAGUGAGUUGCUGACAUUGUCGGUGACGUCAUGUCGGUGAUGCUGGAAUCAAUGCUGUUGCUGCGGCUGUCAUUGACUGACACUGCUUAUAAAUAUGCAUAUGUUGUUGCAUUUAUUUAUAGUAAGCCAUCGAAUGCAGUCAUUUACGUUUUAAAACACCACAUUUGCUAGCACAAGUUCAAGAACGUGGCAACUUUGCAUUUAGACGUUGGAAACUUAAAGUAGGGAAUUUCACGAACUCAUCUCAUCAUUAUACAUAAGUUGGGAUUCAAUUUUAAUCUCGAAGAAGUCGCAUGUACUAGAUGGUUGUCCAGGGAUGUAUCCACCUAGCAGCAUUCCAGCCGCAUGAGUAUAAACUGAAAAAUUAGCAGUUAGAACACCUGCAACUAAAGGGUGCUCCAAUUCAAGGUACCUACAUUUCCUACAUUUUUAUAGAAGAAACACAGAGACUUCAAAUUUAAUGGGGAAUGUUUAUUAUCAUUCGAAAGAACAUUCUCAUUUGUCGUUGGUCUCACAUGGUCUAUCCGUUGAGUCCAAUUUUCGAUGGCUCGUUCGAAUAUUUCAACUGGUAACUGGCGAAUGACACGCGUGAUGUUUGGCUCCAACGCCUGAAUCGAAGCAGGAUUAACCGCAUAGACUUUAGACUUCACAUAUCCCCACAGGAAAAAGUCUGACGGUGUAAUUUUACACGUUCUUGGCUGCCAAUCGACUGGACCAAAACGUGAAAUUAUCUGCUCAGCGAAGAGUUCUCUCCAUAAAUCCAUUGAUUGAUGCAACGAGUGGAAAGUGGCGCCGUCUUGUUGAAACCAAAUGUCGUCAUGAGUCACGAUGCUGUUUGCUAUUGAAAAAAGUACCUUCAUGUGGUUCACCCUUAGUAGAGGCAUAUAUGUAUUACUGCGAAAGGAAUAGCUGAUGUUCAGCUGAAAAAGAGAAUAUCCCAAACACAUAUUCUUAAGAAUUAAAAAAAAAUUUAGGAUACAAAAAAAUUUUGAAAAUUUUUCUUUUGAGGAUAGCUGAUAUGAAUGGAAAGCGGUUAUAUCCAACUUAAAGAUCGGCCGAAACGAUAUCACUUCAAAAGUAGUAAAAGUUAGUAUGGACCCGUAAAGACAACGUAAUAUAAGAAUAUUUAUUACAAUAUCAUUUGAUACUGAGUUAAAUCCGAUGUUGAACUUCUUAUUUUAAAAAUUGUAAAACAAUAUUGCCACUAAUAAACUCCAAGAAAAAAUCGUAAGUUUUACCACAGUCGAAA